CUCCUCGGAAAAUGAGUAAUCGUAACAUUAGCAAAACAACAACAAUUGAACAAUUAAAAUUUAUGUAACGAUUAAUUAUUAAUGCUUGUACAGUAAGAUAUACAAGUAGCAGGUACACAUUUGGGAGUCCCAGUCGGGCAUAUUUACUUGAACAAUACAAGGGUGCCAAAACCUCACAAAGACUGAUUAAAAGAGAAUUUAGACCGGGUGGGUCUCACACGUCUGUCCAGGGAUUCUCAACAUAAAUGGCGGAUGCAGUUGGUGUAAAGGACCAAAGCAAGAAAUCAAUGGUGUGCAAGUAAAGCCUACGUCUCCACCCUGCCCCGUUAAAAGGAGUAAAGUUAUGUUAAGGAAUGUAAUUUUAAAGGUAUCAGGAUCAUAAGGUUUACUCUGUGAGUAUCAUGGGUUCCGGAGCAGAGACAGUAGGUAUAUGUAUACAGGUGUAAGUGGUGUAAGGGUGUCGCUUUAUUUAACACAACAAAUAUUAAAUGAAGUACAAUAUACAUCAUAUUCUGAUCAGGCAAAGAAUUAUAACAAUCUUUGUUGGGAUGGAGGCUCAAUUAGUGUCUUCAUGCUAAUUGGGUUUGUUUGUUCCACGGUACUCUUUAAGUUUGUCGUGGUGAACAAGAAUGGGUCUUGAAUUUGGUUUCAUUUGGAUCUCGUAUAAUACAUCACCCCAUUUCUUGGUGAUAGUAUAAGGACCGGUCCAUGCGUUUUGUAGUUUAGGGUUUAAGCCCUUGUGUCUUUUUGCAUUGAAGUACCACACCUGGGUACCAACUUCAUAAUUUAUGUGGAAUUUUCCUUUGUCAUAAUUUGUUUUCAUACUGACUGCACUUUGUCCCAAGUGUUGUCUUGCAAUCUCAUGAAUUUCCGUCAUGAUAUUUUCAAGCUCUAUGACGUAAGUGGUUGUGAAAUGUGAUUUCUCAUCGACAGGUUUUCCGAUGGCAAGGUCAAUGGGCAAGUUCAUCUCCCGGCCGAACAUCAUCAUAGAUGGAAUGAAACCUGUGCUUGAGUGUAUGCUGGAGUUGUAAGCCAGUACCAGUAAAGGCAGGAGCUGUAUAAUGAGUUCCAGUGCAGUCCGGAGUCUGGAGGAAGAUUAAUUAACAUAAAGGUCCUUAAGUUCAGUGGAAACCAGCCACAGAAUCUCGUGGAGCUAAUCCAUUCACAUUAGCUAGCGUUAUGAAUAGAUGGCCAAUCUUUACAUAACAAGGACUGCACAUUGAAUUUUAAAUGAAUGUACGAAUAAAAGCAAAGUACUGUGGUGUUUGUUGUCACUACGAAAACAAUAUAGGUAUUAUGGUUCAUAGCGAUCAUAUACGGAAACCUGGACAAUUCUUGUAAUAAUCGACCAAGAUGAUACUGUGACGUCAUAUAUUUACAUACGUCAUAUAUUAAGUGACGAAAUCGUUAUAUUAUCUUAAAGUGUAGUUAUUGAAAAUGAUAUAUGAUAAUUGUGUCUGAAGUAGACGACUGUCGAAAUAAUUCGACUUUGUUUUAAAUCCUGUGAUUAAUAUUUUUAGAAUUAUCAUGUGGAAUAAUUGGAUCAAUAAACGCAUUCUCUAUUGAAAAGCAUGUGUUAUCUCUGGCAACGAGGAAGCAACUUCUUAAAAUGGUAACUGGUUUAUUGUUAAAGGUAGUGUUCUAAAGCAUCCGGAUCAGACUAACUUUUAAGGUUUGUCAUAUUACAUUUAUUAUAUUUAAUGGAUCGUCCGGAGCAAUAAUGUAUUUCUCCGUAUUAAAUUUUUGCUCCGGUCAGAGGAGUAUUGAUGAAUUCAUUGAUCCGGAUCGGGACCUGCUCCAGACAGCGUUUGCUAUGACGUCAUAAUUUACCAUCCGGAGUGAACUGAUAUACGUCAUCAUGUACAUUCAUACGGAGCUAUCCGGCGAAGUCUAAACAUUUGUUGAAUUUUAUGAACAAUAUAUUUUUA